UGUCAUGUCAUGUCAUGUCCUUAUGCGUGUCAUGAACUGAUAAGGAUGGGUUUUUCCAUUAGGUCACCUAGCAACCCACGUAUGAGGUCACGUGAGAGGGAUUAAAAACUCAUUAAUCACACUCAUCAAAUGAAGUAGGUCACCUGU